UUAAAUUCUGUACUGAGUCUCAAUCCUUCCCAAGCUGUGUGCUGUGUUGGAGAGGACUACCUUCUCCAAUAGAGGAGGACUGGUCUUUGGUCAAGGGUAUAGGAUCUAAUUCCUAGGUCCUUGAUCCCCCAAAGAAAUAGACCAGAGACCCAGAGGAAAAAGUAGGCCCAAAUCUGUAUCACAUCAUAUUAGGCCCCUACUUCCUUAAUA
ensembl:misc_RNA 7SK 7SK RNA